AACGUAGGAGACGAACGUUAUCCGGAGUUACUGGGCGUAAAGGGCGUGUAGGCGGUUUGUUAAGUCUGGCGUGAAAGCUCUCGGCUAAACCGGGAGAGGUCGUUGGAUACUGGCGAACUAGAGGAUGGUAGAGGCGUGUGGAAUUCCGGGUGUAGUGGUGAAAUGCGUAGAGAUCCGGAGGAACACCAGUGGCGAAGGCGACACGCUGGGCCAUACCUGACGCUAAAGCGCGAAAGCAUGGGGAGCAAACGGG
rnacentral:rRNA from 1 species